UAAGCGGAGGAAAAGAAACUAACAAGGAUUCCCCUAGUAACGGCGAGUGAACCGGGAAGAGCUCAAAUUUGAAAUCUGGCGUGCUCAGUGCGUCCGAGUUGUAAUCUAUAGAGUCGUUUUCCGUGCCGGACUGUGUCCAAGUCCCUUGGAACAGGGUAUCAAAGAGGGUGAUAAUCCCGUACUUGACACAAUGACCGGUGCUCUGUGAUACGUCUUCUACGAGUCGAGUUGUUUGGGAAUGCAGCUCAAAAUGGGUGGUGAGUUCCAUCUAAAGCUAAAUAUUGGCGAGAGACCGAUAGCGAACAAGUACCGUGAGGGAAAGAUGAAAAGCACUUUGGAAAGAGAGUUAAACAGUACGUGAAAUUGUUAAAAGGGAAACGAUUGAAGUCAGUCGUGACUGAGAGGCUCAGCCGGUUCUGCCGGUGUAUUCCCCUCAGUCGGGUCAACAUCAGUUUUGUUCGGUGGAUAAGGGCAGUUGGAAGGUGGCACCCUCGGGUGUGUUAUAGCCAGCUGUCGCAUACAUCGGAUGAGACUGAGGAAUGCAGCUCGCCUUUAUGGCCGGGGUUCGCCCACGUUCGAGCUUAGGAUGUUGACAUAAUGGCUUUAAACGACCCGUCUUGAAACACG
rnacentral:rRNA from 1 species